rnacentral:lncRNA from 1 species
CUUGCAACCCACUCCCCUAAAGAACCCUCAGUGAUGUCUGGUCCCUGUUGAAGUGGGAAAACACACUACUGGUAUCAGUUGGUGUUCCAACAUGGGAUAGUGCCACAGAAAGGCCCUGCACGGAUAAUUCAUCUCUGUUGCCUUGGAGUCAAUUAGGUGAAACGAAGAUAUGGGCCCCCAAAACGCGGCAAACUGCAGUAAGCUGUCACAGCUGUGAAAUACCCUGGAGAACAGCCCUUGCUGAAAAGAGCUCUCCGAAGAUUGUGCACAG